UUUGUACUCCCUCCAUCCCAAAUUACUCGUCGUUGAAAUGGAUGUAUCUAGAAUUAAAAUACAUCCAAAUACAUCCAUACGUGCGACAAAUAAUUCGGAAUGGAGGGAGUACCAU
rfam:Triticum aestivum genome assembly, contig: Triticum_aestivum_CS42_TGACv1_scaffold_093357_2AL